UACAGAGGGUGCGAGCGUUGUCCGGAUUUAUUGGGCGUAAAGAGCGUGUAGGCGGCUUGGAAGGUCCGUUGUGAAAACUCGAGGCUCAACCUCGAGACGCCGAUGGAAACCACCUGGCUAGAGUCCGGAAGAGGAGAGUGGAAUUCCUGGUGUAGCGGUGAAAUGCGCAGAUAUCAGGAAGAACACCCGUGGCUAAGGCGGCUCUCUAGUACGGUACUGACGCUGAGACGCGAAAGCGUGGGGAGCGAACAGG
rnacentral:rRNA from 1 species